AUUGAACGCUGGCGGCAUGCUUUACACAUGCGAGUCGAACGGUAACAGGCCUUCGGGUGCUGACGAGUGGCGCACGGGUGAGUAAUGCAUCGGAACGUACCCAGAGGUGGGGGAUAACGCAGCGAAAGCUGUGCUAAUACCGCAUGUGAUCUGAGGAUGAAAGCGGGGGACCGAGCAGCAAUGUUUGGCCUCGCGCCUUUGGAGCGGCCGAUGUCGGAUUAGCUAGUUGGUGGGGUAAAGGCCUACCAAGGCGACGAUCCAUAGCUGGUCUGAGAGGACGACCAGCCACACUGGGACUGAGACACGGCCCAGACUCCUACGGGAGGCAGCAGUGGGGAAUUUUGGACAAUGGGCGCAAGCCUGAUCCAGCAAUGCCGCGUGCGGGAAGAAGGCCUUCGGGUUGUAAACCGCUUUUGGCAGGAACGAAACGGUGUCCGCUAAUACCGGGCGCUAAUGACGGUACCUGCAGAAUAAGCACCGGCUAACUACGUG
rnacentral:rRNA from 1 species